GUUCAUGAUGACUGAUAAUUUCUUCACUUUGACCUGAUGUCUACUGAAGAAAUCCAGCGUCUGAGG
rnacentral:snoRNA from 1 species